GACGAACGCUGGCGGCGUGCUUAACACAUGCAAGUCGAACGGAAAGGCCCUGCUUUUGUGGGUUGCUCGAGUGGCGAACGGGUGAGUAACACGUGAGUAACCUGCCCUUGACUUUGGGAUAACUUCAGGAAACUGGGGCUAAUACCGGAUAGGAGCUCCUGCUGCAGGGUGGGGGUUGGAAAGUUUCGGCGGUUGGGGAUGGACUCGCGGCUUAUCAGCUUGUUGGUGGGGUAGUGGCUUACCAAGGCUUUGACGGGUAGCCGGCCUGAGAGGGUGACCGGCCACAUUGGGACUGAGAUACGGCCCAGACUCCUACGGGAGGCAGCAGUGGGGAAUAUUGCACAAUGGGCGGAAGCCUGAUGCAGCAACGCCGCGUGCGGGAUGACGGCCUUCGGGUUGUAAACCGCUUUCGCCUGUGACGAAGCGUGAGUGACGGUAAUGGGUAAAGAAGCACCGGCUAACUACGUG
rnacentral:rRNA from 1 species